UUUAAGAUGACAGAACUAAUGUGAUAAACUUAAGCUUUAUUUAUGAAUAAUACUCUCUUAAAA
rnacentral:tRNA from 1 species